GUCGCUACUACCGAUUGAAUGAUUUAGUGAGGUCUUCAGACUGGCUAAUUCGACUACAUUUUGUGGUAGGAUUGUGCUGGAAAGAUGACCAAACUUGAUCAUUUAGAGGAAGUAA
rnacentral:rRNA from 1 species